GGAGAAAGGAUUACUAGUUUAGUGGGUGAAAAUGUAUUAUUAUAUAAAGAAAUUUAUUUUAUUAGUGUGUACGAAUAAAUUUGUUUAAGUUUGUUAUAGAGUAUUAGUAUCGUGAGAGAAUUUUAAAAAUUAUGAAAAAGAAGAUUUUAUUUUUUGUACCUUGUGUAUCAGGGUUUAUUAAUUAAAACUUAUAUUAACUAAGUUUCUCGAAUUUAAAAGAGCUACGAUUUUAUAGUUUUUACUGUUGAAUAAGUAUUAUUAAUAUUUUUGUAGAGGUGAGAUUCUAUUCGUUUUUAAAUAUAUCUAGUUUUUUAAGAAAAAGUUUAAUUUUGUUUUUAUUUUAUUAUGGGUUUGAGUGUUUAAAUUUAUAGUAGUGAGGUGUUACAUUUUAAGGGAUGAGCUUUAAGGUGGACGUAUAUAAUGUUGGUUUGUGAAUGAUUUAAAGUAGGAUUGAAAAUUUUUAUCUUUUGGAGUGUGUUAUUAUUUUUAAUUGUUAGUAUAAGAUUUAAAUAGUUGGUUUAUGUUGUUAUUAAAAUUUAAGCUUUAUUGUAAAAGGUUUAGGAAAAAUGAUAAAAUUAGUAUAAUAUUUUUAGGUUAGGUUUAUUUUAGGCGGAGAGGUUUCUAAAAGGAAUUCGGCAAAUAUAUUUUUCACCUGUUUAUUAAAAACAUGGCUUGUUGAUAUUUAUUUCAGGUCUUACCUGCCCGCUGAGGUGUUGAAUGGCCGCGGUAUAUUAACCGUGCAAAGGUAGCAUAAUCAUUAGUUUUUUAAUUGAAAGCUGGAAUGAAAGGUUUUAUGAAAAAGUGACUGUCUCUAGGGAAGUUUAUUAAAAUUUUAUUUUUAAGUGAGAAAGCUUAAAUUUAAAUAGAAGACGAGAAGACCCUAUAGAGUUUUACAAGAAGCUAGGUGAUUAUAAAUAGGUAUUUUUAGGGUUAGUUAGCUAGGGCUUGUUUUGUUGGGGUGACAGAAAAAUUAAAUUAACUUUUUAAGAUUGAUUUACUGAUGUGUAGUUGCUUGAUCCUUUAUUUAGAUUAUAAGAAUAAAUUACCUUAGGGAUAACAGCGUAAUUUUCUUUAGAGUUCUUAUCGAAAAGAUUGAUUGCGACCUCGAUGUUGGAUUAAAAUUAAUUGUUGGUGUAGUAGCUAAUAUAUUAGGUCUGUUCGACCUUUAAAAUUUUACAUGAUCUGAGUUUAGACCGGCGUGAGCCAGGUUGGUUUCUAUCUUUAUUAUGGGAGAAAAUAUUUUAGUACGAAAGGACCAAGUAUUUGAUUGAUAAUUAUUGUUUAGAUUAAUAUUAA
rnacentral:rRNA from 1 species